GACGAACGCUGGCGGCGUGCUUAACACAUGCAAGUCGAGCGGUAAGGCCCUUCGGGGUACACGAGCGGCGAACGGGUGAGUAACACGUGAGCAAUCUGCCCAUCACAUCGGGAUAACUCC
rnacentral:rRNA from 1 species